rnacentral:rRNA from 1 species
UACGUAGGGUGCGAGCGUUGUCCGGAAUUAUUGGGCGUAAAGGGCUCGUAGGCGGUUUGUCGCGUCGGGAGUGAAAACACCGGGCUUAACCCUGAGCCUGCUUCCGAUACGGGCAGACUAGAGGUAUGCAGGGGAGAACGGAAUUCCCGGUGUAGAGGUGAAAUUCGUAGAUAUCGGGAGGAACACCAGUGGCGAAGGCGGGUAGCUGGGCCGACACUGACGCUGAGGCGCGAAAGCCAGGGGAGCGAACGGG